GGGCAGAGACACAAACACGUGAUCAUGUUCACUCGGUUUCGAGGCAUGGGCUCAACACGAAGCUCCCCCCUCAUCUGCCCAUCAGCAGUGACGCCAUUGCGCUCUGCUUCUUUUUCUUCAAGCAAAGGAUACCCUUUCUUUGAUCUGGUUUGAUCUGAUUUGAUGGACGCUCCGUCUUGCUAAGGCUGCAGGCAUAUUUUACAUAUUUAUAUAUACACUCACCAUCCAUUCUCGAUUUGCUCAACGGUCAACGCCUUCCUAGUGCCAUCCCAUCACUCCAUAACCAGCCAGCCAGUCCAAUCACUCCAGAAGCCAUGGAGCAUCAGGACGCCGCCGAGGACAUCGUCAUCGCAGGCGCCGGCGUGGCAGGCCUCGCCGUCGCUCUGGGGCUCCACAGGAAGGGCGUUCGGUGCGUGGUGCUGGAGUCGUCGCCGGUGCUCCGGACUUCUGGGUUCGCGAUUGCGGCAUGGACGAACGCCUUCCGCGCGCUUGAUGCCCUUGGACUAGGCGACACCAUUAGGGCGAAACACCUGCAGAUUCAGGGGGCGUGUGUCAUGUCUUGGACAACAGGGAAAGUGGCGCGAGAGAUAGAUCUCCGGGUGCAAGGAAAAUGGGGAACCCAUGAAGCCCGGUGCGUGCAGCGCAACGUGCUGCUCCAGGCACUGGAGGAAGAACUGCCCAGAGGCACCAUCCGCUAUUCCUCCAAGAUCGUCUCCAUCGACGACGGCGACGAUGCUGAGGUCCUCCAUCUAGCCGACGGCUCCACUCUCAGAGCAAAGGUACUGAUCGGCUGUGACGGGAUCAACUCGGUGGUGGCGAAAUGGCUGAAGCUCGCGAAGCUGUCCGACUCGGGGCGCCGGGCCACGCGAGGGCACGCCAAGUACCCUGACGGCCAAGAUGCUGCAGUUCAGCGGCCAGGGCUUCCGCGCGGGCUUGGUCCCCUGUAACCGCACCGACGUCUACUGGUUCUUCACAUGGUCUCCUCCGGCUCCUUCGUCCCCGGACGGUAAGGAUGACGUCGACCAGCAUAGCCCGGCGGCGAUGAAGCAGUUCAUGCUGACCAAGCUUAGAAGCAUCAAGGCUCCUCCCGAGGUGCUGGAAGCGGUCGAGAGGAGCGAGAUGAACAUGAACGACGUGCUCGUGGCGCCCCUGCGGUACCGCCCCCCGCUGUCGCUCCUGUUCGCGAGCAUCAGCAAGGGGAACGUGUGCGUUGCCGGCGACGCGCUCCACCCGACGACCCCGGACCUGGCGCAGGGCGCGUGCGUCGCCCUGGAGGACGCCGUCGUCCUCGCGCGGUGCCUCGGCGACGCCAUCGCUGGAAGGGAACGGGAGACAGUGGAGGCGGCUCUGCGCCGGUACGCAGGGAUCCGGCGGUGGAGGAGCGGGCAGGUGAUCGCGGCGUCCUACGUGGUGGGGCUGGUGCAGCAGAGCGAUCACGCCGUGGUGAGGUUUGCACGGGACAGGCUGCUCUCCGGGAUGCUCGCCAAGGGGCUCCUCAUGAUGCCGGACUACGACUGCGGUACGGUACGCUGUGAACUGUCAGGUCUCGAGAGAGAGCUGGGGUUGCUGUCAGUGCUGUCACUUGUGAUUCGGUGUCAGACUGUAAACCUGUCAAUGUACUCCUUCGGGAGGUGUUUAGUACUACGUGGGAAGGAAGGUUUUGUAAGUUAUGUAACAGUGUACGUAAGUGUAGCAUUUUUGUUUUUUCAUUACGCAUCUUGAGUUGGAACUUGCAAAUCUGGUUCCUUGAA